CUGAGGGAAACUUCAGCUAAUACCGGAUAAGCCCUUACGGGGAAAGAUUUAUCGCCGAAAGAUCGGCCCGCGUCUGAUUAGCUAGUUGGUGAGGUAACGGCUCACCAAGGCGACGAUCAGUAGCUGGUCUGAGAGGAUGAUCAGCCACAUUGGGACUGAGACACGGCCCAAACUCCUACGGGAGGCAGCAGUGGGGAAUAUUGGACAAUGGGCGCAAGCCUGAUCCAGCCAUGCCGCGUGAGUGAUGAAGGCCCUAGGGUUGUAAAGCUCUUUUGUGCGGGAAGAUAAUGACGGUACCGCAAGAAUAAGCCCCGGCUAACUUCGUGCCAGCAGCCGCGGUAAUACGAAGGGGGCUAGCGUUGCUCGGAAUCACUGGGCGUAAAGGGUGCGUAGGCGGGUCUUUAAGUCAGGGGUGAAAUCCUGGAGCUCAACUCCAGAACUGCCUUU
rnacentral:rRNA from 1 species